AAAUUGAAGAGUUUGAUCAUGGCUCAGAUUGAACGCUGGCGGCAGGCCUAACACAUGCAAGUCGAGCGGAAACGACACUAACAAUCCUUCGGGUGCGUUAAUGGGCGUCGAGCGGCGGACGGGUGAGUAAUGCCUAGGAAAUUGCCUUGAUGUGGGGGAUAACCAUUGGAAACGAUGGCUAAUACCGCAUAAUGCCUACGGGCCAAAGAG
rnacentral:rRNA from 1 species